AUUGAACGCUGGCGGCAGGCUUAACACAUGCAAGUCGAGCGAGCGGCGGACGGGUGAGUAAUGUCUGGGCAACUGCCUGCUGGAGGGGGAUCACUACUGGAAACGGUAGCUAAUACCGCAUACCAUCAGAUGUGCCCAGAUGGGAUUAGCUAGUAGGUGGGGUAAUGGCUCACCUAGGCGACGAUCCCUAGCUGGUCUGAGAGGUUGACCAGCGACACUGGAACGGGGACACGGUCCAGACGCCUACGGGAGGAAGCAGUGGGGAAGAGUGCACAAUGGGCGCAAGCCUGAUGCAGCCAUGCCGCGUGUGAGAAGAAGGCCUUCGGGGUGUAAAGCACUUUCAGCGAGGAGGCGUUACUCGCAGAAGAAGCACCGGCUAACUCCGUGCCAGCAGCCGCGGUAAUUC
rnacentral:rRNA from 1 species